GGAAAGUUGGUUUAAAUAAAACGUUGGGUUGUCAGCCCUAAAAAGCUAGAAAUUAGCACUUUCCC
rnacentral:tRNA from 1 species